ensembl:lncRNA
GGUGAGUGUCAAUUAAACACACACAAGUGAGCACACUGUAUCCCAGCCCCAAACACAUUAUCUGAUUUAACCAAUUAAACAAACAGGAGUGAGUUACACCAUUAGGCUCAACGGAGCUGCUAGAGCAAACCAACGGCUCAGUGCUGCCCAGGCAUGGGAGUAAUAAAGUGUGUUUCUGGUGGGGAGGAGGUGCUCAGUGUUUUGCUGGCGACUUCUGUCAUAAAAGGGGACCGUGUAUCAGUUCUCCAGAGAACUCAUUCCAGUCACAGAGGUUUGUUCUGAGACCUCUUGGGAGCUGCAGCCUGGCCGCUUGAGUUGGAGCUUCCUGAAUUCAUCCAUCGCUUUUCAUGACGCUGGACCCAGCUCCUUUGGAGAUCACAGUGGACUAUGAGAGCCAAAUGUUUCUAACAGGCCCCAUUCCCGCUUGCUGCUUCCUGAAGUGCUGUCUCCCAGUCUUUGCAGACAGCACUUUGACCUACUCCAUGCGACCGUCAUUUCCGUGCGCUCAGGGCACCCCGCGCGCCCUGAGCCACUUUCCCCUACGGAGUGAGCCCCCAAAUGGGGACGUUCAGAGACCGCUCAGCCCAGGGCAGUUGGGGUAGGG